AGAUUGAACGCUGGCGGCAGGCCUAACACAUGCAAGUCGAGCGGUAGAGAGGUGCUUGCACCUCUUGAGCGGCGGACGGGUGAGUAAUGCCUAGGAAUCUGCCUAGUGGUGGGGGAUAACGUUCGGAAACGGACGCUAAUACCGCAUACGUCCUACGGGAGAAAGCGGGGGACCUUCGGGCCUCGCGCCAUUAGAUGAGCCUAGGUCGGAUUAGCUAGUUGGUGAGGUAAUGGCUCACCAAGGCGACGAUCCGUAACUGGUCUGAGAGGACGUAGUACUACGUA
rnacentral:rRNA from 1 species